UGAGGAAUAUUGGACAAUGGACGAAAGUCUGAUCCAGCUAUGCCGCGUGCAGGAUGACAGCCCUACGGGUUGUAAACUGCUUUUAUACAGGAAGAAAAAUCCCGACGUGUCGGGGCUUGACGGUACUGUAAGAAUAAGGAUCGGCUAACUCCGUGCCAGCAGCCGCGGUAAUACGGAGGAUCCAAGCGUUAUCCGGACUUAUUGGGUUUAAAGGGUCCGCAGGCUGUUUUUUAAGUCAGAGGUGAAAUCCUGCAGCUCAACUGUAGAAUUGCCUUUGAAACUGAAAGACUUGAGUUAUUGUGAAGUGGUUAGAAUGUGUGGUGUAGCGGUGAAAUGCAUAGAUAUCACACAGAAUACCAAUUGCGAAGGCAGAUCACUAACAAUUAACUGACGCUCAGGGACGAAAGCGUGGGUAGCGAACAGG
rnacentral:rRNA from 1 species